GUAAUACUCCAUAGUUCGUUAUUACUGGAAUGUUUUUCGAACGAAAGAUCCGUCGCUUCAGGAUGAGUCUGCGGCCGAUUAGGUAGUUGUUGGGGUAAUUGCCCAACAAGCCUGUAAUCGGUACGGGUUGUGGGAGCAAGAGCCCGGAGAUGGAUUCUGAGACACGAAUCCAGGCCCUACGGGGCGCAGCAGGCGCGAAAACUUUACCAUGCGGGCAACCGUGAUAAGGAAACCCCGAGUGCCAGCACAGGCUGGCUGUCCGCCAGUUUAAACAACUGGCGAAGAAAGGGCCGGGCAAGACCGGUGCCAGCCGCCGCGGUAAUACCGGCGGCUCGAGUGGUGGCCGCUAUUACUGGGAUUAAAGGGUCCGUAGCUUGAUAAUAGGGUCCCUUGAGAAAUCCGCCGGCUUAACUGGCGGGCGUUCAGGGGAAACUUGUUUUCUAGGGACCGGGAGAGGUGAGGGGUACUGCCGGGGUAGGAGUGAAAUCCUGUAAUCCCGGUGGGACCACCUAUGGCGAAGGCAUCUCACCAGAACGGGUCCGACAGUGAGGGACGAAAGCUGGGGGAGCAAACCGGAUUAGAUACCCGGGUAGUCCCAGCUGUAACUAUGUGCGUUAGGUGU
rnacentral:rRNA from 1 species